CAACAUGUAGCUUAACUAAAGCCCUACGCUUACACCGGAGAGAUGUCUGUUUAAACUCGGACCAUUUUGA
rnacentral:tRNA from 1 species